rnacentral:rRNA from 1 species
AUUGAACGCUGGCGGCAUGCCUAACACAUGCAAGUCGAGCGAGCGGCGGACGGGUGAGUAAUGUCUGGGAAACUGCCCGAUGGAGGGGGAUAACUACUGGAAACGGUAGCUAAUACCGCAUACCAUCAGAUGUGCUCAGAUGGGAUUAGCUAGAGGGUGGGGUAACGGCUCCACUAGGCGACGAUCCCUAGCUGGCCUGAGAGGACGAUCAGCCACACUGGAACUGAGACACGGUCCAGACUCCUACGGGAGGCAGCAGUAGGGAAUAUUCCACAAUGGGCGAAAGCCUGACGCAGCAAUGCCGCGUGUGUGAAGAAGGCCUUCGGGUUGUAAAGCACUUUCAGCGGGGAGGCGGUACCCGCAGAAGAAGCCCCGGCUAACUCCGUGCCAGCAGCCGCGGUAAUUC